ACUGGGAAGUGUAGUGCCGGUGAGGGAGGCGGGGUCCCGCGGGGCAUGCCGGGAGGUGCAGUCCCGCUCCCUCAGCCCGGCCGUGGGAGCUCCUCAGCCCCAGCCUGGGGGCCCGGGAGGCUGCAGCGCCCCGGCCCGGGCUCUGCACCCGCUCUCGGCCUCUUCCAGGCGAGCAGGCCCUGGGCUUCGGCCCAGCUCGCGAAGAUGCUCGGCUCUCCCCUGGCAAAUGAACACACGAGCAGGCAGAACUGACAUGGCCGCUGCCCUGUCCCAGCACAGCCCAGCACCGAGACCUCCAGGCUCUGCUAUUUCAAGUUCAGCUGCACACUGUGAGGCCCAGGGGACAAAUUACCUGAGAAGGCUUUAUACUCAAAAUGAAUACAUAAAUCUGCUAUAGGCCUAUUGCAAAUGAGGUUAUUAAAAUUAAAGUGUCCAAUUCUUAAA